rnacentral:rRNA from 1 species
AUUGAACGCUGGCGGCAUGCCUUACACAUGCAAGUCGAACGGUAACAGGUCUUCGGAUGCUGACGAGUGGCGAACGGGUGAGUAAUACAUCGGAACGUGCCCGAGAGUGGGGGAUAACGAGGCGAAAGCUUUGCUAAUACCGCAUACGAUCUCAGGAUGAAAGCAGGGGACCGCAAGGCCUUGCGCGCAAGGAGCGGCCGAUGGCAGAUUAGGUAGGUGGGGGGAUAAAAGCUUACCAAGCCGACGAUCUGUAGGUGGUCUGAGAGGACGACCAGCCACACUGGGACUGAGCCACGGCCCAGACUCCUACGGGAGGGAGCAGUGGGGAAGUUUGGACAAUGGGCGCAAGCCUGAUCCAGCCAUGCCGCGUGCGGGAUGAAGGCCUUCGGGUUGUAAACUGCUUUUGUACGGAACGAAAAGACUCCUUCUAGUAAAGGGGGUCCAUGACGGUACCGUAAGAAUAAGCACCGGCUAACUACGUGCCAGCCGCCGCCGUAAAAC